AGCGACGCGCGCGGAGCGGGCGGGAAAGAGAGCGUUUCGGGUCCAGUGCGCAGGUGCGAAAGCCAUCUUUGGUUAUAUAAGGGAGGUUCAGGAAGCCAUUCGUUCUUUCGCGUCUGCGGUGCCCGGAGUGUGGUACUUCUCCUAGUUGCAGUCAGGCUUCAUACGCUAUUGUCCUGCCCGUAAGUUCCCGUUUUGUGUGUGGUUAGAGCAGCCAGCGGGUACAGAAUGGAUUUUGGAAGAGGGAGUCACCACUGGACCUCCAAGGAAGCCACGUGCAGACAUCUACAACCUUCGAUCUCCUGACGAAAACUGGCGAUGGAAUAUGAGAGGAGCCCUCUGGAAAGAAAAGGACAGACCCUGUGCUUUCAUGAAAGUGAAGAUCUGGCUGAACCAGUUCCACAAGGUUACUGUAUACAUAGCCUGAGUUUAAAAGGCUGUGCCCACUUCAAGAAUGUCAUUGUUAGACUUUGAAAUUUCUAACUGCCUACCUGCAUAAAGAAAA
rnacentral:lncRNA from 1 species